UAAAAGGAGGUAGAUAUUUUUUCUAUUCGGUAGGAAUUUUUAAUCAUAGCUAUGACACCUGUAAGAGUCGGUAAUGAAGUAUUAAAGCGACAUGUAUAAAUGUAAUAUUUAACCAGAAUAGUGAAUAAGUUUAGGGAAAUAUCCCAAGACUCUGACCCAAGAACAAUAUUUUCCACAUUAAGAAUUAAAGUUAAAUUAUUUUCAACUAGAAAAAGUGCUGCAAUUUCUAACCACAAAUUUCUAACUAGGGUACAUUCCCAGAAAAGGUGACUUAUAGUUUCUUUAGUUUCAUUACAGAAACUACAUAAGUUAGUUUCUUUUAACCCAUAUUUCUGCAAUAA
rnacentral:lncRNA from 1 species